AGAGUUUGAUCAUGGCUCAGGAUGAACGCUAGCGGCAGGCUUAAUACAUGCAAGUUGAGGGGCAGCAUGAUAUACGCGAGUAUAUUGAUGGCGACCGGCGGACGGGUGAGUAAAAGGUAGGAGACCUACCUCAUACAGGGGGAUAGCAUAGAGAAAUCUGUGGUAAUACCCCAUGAGGUUAUAUGAAUAGAGGCAUAUAAUCAAAGUAUACGAGAGUAUGCGGUAUGAGAUGGGCCUACUGACCAUUAGCUAGUUGGUGAGGUAAGGGCUCACCAAGGCGAAGAUGGUUAGGGGUUUUGAGAGAGAGAUCCCCCACAUUGGAACUGAGAUACGGUCCAGACUCCUACGGGAGGCAGCAGUAGGGAAUAUUGGGCAAUGGGCGGAAGCCUGACCCAGCCAUGCCGCGUGAAGGAAGACGGCCUUAUGGGUUGUAAACUUCUUUACUAUACGAAUAGAGGUUAGUACGAGAUACUAAUAGGAAGGUAGUAUAGCAAAAAGCACCGGCUAACUCCGUGCCAGCAGCCGCGGUAAUACGGAGGGUGCAAGCGUUAUUCGGAAUUACUGGGUUUAAAGGGUGCGUAGGCGGUUAUAUAAGUUGUCAGUGAAAGGCUACGGCUCAACUGUAGUAGUGCUGGCGAUACUGUAUAGCUAAGAACAUGGGAGGGGUACCUGGAAUGUGUGGUGUAGCGGUGAAAUGCAUAGAUAUCACACAGAACACCGGAGGCGAAGGCGGGGUACUAGACCAUAGUUGACGCUGAGGCACGAAAGCGUGGGGAGCAAACAGGAUUAGAUACCCUGCUAGUCCACGCCCUAAACGAUGAUCACUAGAUAUUGGCGACAGACAGUCAGUGUCCAAGCGAAAGUGAUAAGUGAUCCACCUGGGGAAUACGGCGCAGGUAAAACUCAAUGAUUGACGG
rnacentral:rRNA from 1 species